GACAGAGGCCACAAGCGUUAGGCGGAAUCACUGGGCUUAAAGCGUGUGUAGGUGGAUGGCUAAGUGCCUUGUGAAAUCCCCCGGCUCAACCGGGGAACCGCUGGGCAGACUGGUCGUCUUGAGCCACCUAGGGGCAACUGGAACGAACGGUGGAGCGGUGAAAUGCGUAGAUAUCGUUCGGAACGCCAACGGUGAAAACAGGUUGCUGGGGGUGUGCUGACGCUGAGACACGAAAGCCAGGGGAGCGAACGGG
rnacentral:rRNA from 1 species